rnacentral:lncRNA from 1 species
AAGAAUAACGAUAAUAAUAAUCAUAAUAAGAAUGACUUUAAAGGAAAAAUAAGAGGAGGAGAGAAAUAAAUAAAUAAAUAAAUAAAUAACUCUUCAUUCAAAGUAAUGAGGACGGUAUGAAAACUGACUUUGCUUUCGUUUUAGAAGGUUGUGAGCAACGUGGGUGGGUCGUUGACAGACAUUUGUGAGCAAAAAAUUCGAGUUCCAGUGAAAGCGUUCAUGCAAUCAAUCGCAGAGUUAGCGUUCGGAAAUUACUUCUUCUUUAUGAACCCGUUACAAGGUAAUGUGAAAGCCAAUAUGGACAACCGAAUAGUUCUCCAGAACUACUACAAAAUUGCUCCCUACUUCGGCACGUUGUAACCCACUAGAACUAUUCUCGACUCUUGGUUGGUAUUAACAUCUGCAGGUAAUUUUUUUUCUGGCACACUGAAGCUCCCUCUUAGAAGUGUGGGAAGAAACCCCACCUCCCCCCCCCCCUCCAACUGAUAUUGUAUUAAUUUAUUAUGAAGUUUCAUUUUUGAGUAGUUCCGCUUUGCUGCGAGGAUUCGUCAUUCCGCAGCAAGGAGUCGAAGUAGGAGGAGCCAAGCUCAUCCUGGAUGUCAGACAAGAGCUCCCUCACGUUGAUCACUUGGUUGUCGUCCCUGUUGUCUAGAGCCUCUUCAAUCUGCUCACGGAUUUUCCUCCCCAUCUGGUCCUCUAUCGUAGAAAGUAGCUCCCUCAAGUUGGUCCAUUCUGGAAGAUCUUCCAGAGCCUCAAACAGCUCGUUCGCCAUGCUUGCUCUUUCGGUUUACCAGCUAAGAUCCUGGAGUUGUCUUAUCGCGUGGCCCAGAAGGACUGAUUCCAGCCGUGGCCCAACCAGGGAACCGAAUCCUGUGACUUAAAUCAGAUCAUUCGAGUUAAGUUCAUCUGCUGCCCUAUUUCGAGUUGUUUCUACCCCCUCUUCCCCUCACACGCAAGUUCACACGGUGCAACGCGGGAGGCCUGUCAGAGUAAAAUUUUGGAGACGGGCUAGUUAAAGUGGUGCCAAAGACGGAGGAGGACGAGGGAAGGAAGUUUCAUAGGGCUGUCAAACUCACGUUCAGCAUGUCGUAGCGUGGCAGAGAAGUUAUUUCCUGGAGUGUCCAGACAUAUCAACCAUUAUGUAGGCCAGCACUGCAAUCACUUCGCAGAAAGAACAAAAAAAUUCAAUAAUCUCUUAAACCCCUCCAGAUGAAUGAACAACUCCAGAAAUCCUGCAUGAUCCCUGCCUGAAUCAGGCUCUCCUGGAGGGGCCUGAGCUAACUCAACACCGGAAGUUGCAGGGCAGCUAAAGGAACCUUGUCUGGCUUCACCCAUGUCACUGCGGAGUAAUACACUGGAAGGUUGCGAUGAGCACCUUCUUGUACUUUUGUCUGGGGGCCAUGGUAGUCGACGUCCAUGAGCCAGUGAAGAGCGAGCACUGGUUUUCAUUGGUCCACUUGUGGUGAGCACCACGGCCAAACUGCACACGCGGAAGACUUGAAACGCAGAGACGCACGCCUUUCAUUCCCAGGAUUCCGUGGGCCCGAGGGGAACCAGCUCCGGCAAC